rnacentral:rRNA from 1 species
GAUGAACGCUGACAGAAUGCUUAACACAUGCAAGUCAACUGUGGCGGACGGGUGAGUAACGCGUAAAGAACUUGCCUCACAGAUAGGGACAACAUUUGGAAACGAAUGCUAAUACCUGAUACUGUGAGAGAGCUUUGCGUCCCAUUAGCUAGUUGGAGAGGUAACGGCUCACCAAGGCGAUGAUGGUUAGCCGGCCUGAGAGGGUGAACGGCCACAAGGGGACUGAUACACGGCCCUUACUCCGUCGGGAGUCAGCAGUAGGGAUUAUUUGACAAUGUACCAGAGUCUUAUCCAGCAAUUCUGUGUGCACGAUGAAGUUUUCGGACUGUAAAGUGCUUUCAGUUGGGAAGCAGUACCAACAGAAGAAGUGACGGCUAAAUACGAGCCAGCAGCCGCGGUAAUAC